rnacentral:rRNA from 1 species
AGCGAACGCUGGCGGCAGGCUUAACACAUGCAGGUCGAGCGGGCCCUUCGGGGUCAGCGGCGGACGGGUGAGUAACGCGUGGGAACGUGCCCUCUGGUCUGGAAUAACCCUGGGAAACUAGGGCUAAUACCGGAUACGCCCUUUUGGGGAAAGGCUUGCUGCCGGAGGAUCGGCCCGCGUCUGAUUAGCUAGUUGGUGGGGUAACGGCCUACCAAGGCGACGAUCAGUAGCUGGUCUGAGAGGAUGAUCAGCCACACUGGGACUGAGACACGGCCCAGGCUCCUACGGGAGGCAGCAGUGGGGAAUAUUGGACAAUGGGCGCAAGCCUGAUCCAGCCAUGCCGCGUGAGUGAUGAAGGCCUUAGGGUUGUAAAGCUCUUUUAUCCGGGACGAUAAUGACGGUACCGGAGGAAUAAGCCCCGGCUAACUUCGUGCCAGCCGCCGCAGUAA